CGCCGUCCCCUCCAGGGUCCUGCCCGUCCCCUCAGGCACCCUGCCCAGGAGGGGAUUUACCGAUUUUAUCCGGGGCUCCUGCGGGACAGCGGCCGUGAAGGAAUGCGGGCAGCUCCCGGCUGACCCUCGCCGGCUCGGAGUUACCUGCUGCGAGGAAGCACCGACCAAGAAAUUCUUCUGUAAGUACAACUGAAUUGAGUAGGACGAAGACACAAAAACUAUGUAAGAGUAAUGGUCGGGCUCUGAAGAGCCCUGAGGAGCUGUUACUCUGAAACAGACCCAGGUACACCCCACCAAACCAAACCCAUUCCAAGGCUGGUCAGAGGUGUUCACUACAAGGAACUGGAGAAAACAGGAUGUUUUGCUUCUCUCCCAGGCCUGUGCUCUACCAGUCUGACCUGCUUAUCCUCCUUUCCUUUUCUGCUAUUCAGGAACCAGGAUUUCUUCAGUGCAUUCAAGCAUAUCAUUUCUGUUCAUUGUCCCGCGUGUAUUACUUGUGUCAGGAUGAAUCACAUCUCUGUACACGUGGCGUAAAACUGGCUCCAGAGCUCUACAGCCACAGGAAGCACUGCUGGGGAGGAGGAUUGCUUCCCUGGCUCCCGCAGCUUGGACACCAGCAUGAGGCAAUCAGGAGGGUAAUCAAGGAGAAAGGUAUACAGGAAUUGCCACAAGAACAUUGUGUCUUACUAGGAGUUCCCAGCGCUACUGAAAUUCAGAGUCUGUGUUUUCUCAAAACAUCUUGAAAGAGAGC